rnacentral:rRNA from 1 species
UACAGAGGGUGCAAGCGUUAAUCGGAAUUGCUGGGCGUAAAGCGUGCGUAGACGGUUAUGUAAGUCAGGUGUGAAAGCCCCGGGCUCAACCUGGGAAUUGCAUUUGAGACUGCAUAGCUAGGGUGCGGAAGAGGGAAGCGGAAUUUCCGGUGUAGCGGUGAAAUGCGUAGAUAUCGGAAGGAACACCAGUGGCGAAAGCGGCUUCCUGGUCCAGCACCGACGUUCAGGCACGAAAGCGUGGGGAGCAAACAGG